rnacentral:ncRNA from 4 species
GCUAACAUGACGGUCGUUGGUGCUCGCGCGGUGGUUCACGCUGCGCAGUUAAACGGGAAACAGGAAGAGCCAUGCCCCCGGCAGAUGCUCCGGCCUGUGCUGCCCCCGCAACGGUCAGCGACCGAAGGCGCAAGCCUUCCGUUCGGACAAGCUCUCCACUGAAUUUUCGGAUUUGGGAAGGAGGUUCGGAUCGCGUCGCCAGCCCGGAUACCGGCCAACGACGAGAAGACGCGC